AAAGGAGAAAUCCGCUUUGAGAUGGGCCCGCGGCGGAUUAGCUAGUUGGUGAGGUAAUGGCUCACCAAGGCGACGAUCAGUAGCCGACCUGAGAGGGUGAUCGGCCACACUGGGACUGAGACACGGCCCAGACUCCUACGGGAGGCAGCAGUGGGGAAUAUUGGGCAAUGGGGGAAACCCUGACCCAGCAACGCCGCGUGAGGGAAGAAGGUCUUCGGAUCGUAAACUUCUGUCCUUGGCCACCAUGUUUGACGGUACCCAAGGAGGAAGCCCCGGCUAACUACGUGCCAGCAGCCGCGGUAAUACGUAGGGGGCAAGCGUUGUCCGGAAUUAUUGGGCGUAAAGGGCGCGUAGGCGGUUAUACAAGUCAGAUGUGAAAUACCAGGGCUUAACCCUGGAGCUGCAUUUGAAACUGGAUAUCUUGAGGACAGGAGAGGAAAGUGGAAUUCCCAGUGUAGCGGUGAAAUGCGUAGAUAUUGGGAGGAACACCAGUGGCGAAGGCGACUUUCUGGACUGUAACUGACGCUGAGGCGCGAAAGCGUGGGGAGCAAACAGGAUUAGAUACCCUGGUAGUCCACGCCGUAAACGAUGAUCACUCGCUGUUUGCUCUUAAAGGGUCGGUGCCGCAGUUAACACAAUAAGCACUCCGCCUGGGGAGUACGGCCGCAAGGUUGAAACUCAAAGGAAUUGACGGGGGCCCGCACAAGCGGUGGAGCAUGUGGUUUAAUUCGACGCAACGCGAAGAACCUUACCAGGGCUUGACAUCCUACGAAUCCUUAGGAAACUAGGGAGUGCCCUUCGGGGAGCGUAGAGACAGGUGGUGCAUGGUUGUCGUCAGCUCGUGUCGUGAGAUGUUGGGUUAAGUCCCGCAACGAGCGCAACCCUUAUUUUCAGUUACUAACGAGUAAUUGGGCACUCUGAAGAGACUGCCGGGGACAACUCGGAGGAAGGUGGGGACGACGUCAAAUCAUCAUGCCCCUUAUGACCUGGGCUACACACGUGCUACAAUGGCUACUACAAAGAGGAGCAAGCCCGCAAGGGGGAGCGAAUCCUCAAAAAUAGUCUCAGUUCGGAUUGCAGGCUGCAACUCGCCUGCAUGAAGUCGGAAUCGCUAGUAAUCGCAGGUCAGCAUACUGCGGUGAAUACGUUCCCCGGGCCUUGUACACACCGCCCGUCACACACGAAAGUCUGCAACACCCGAAGCCGGUGAGGUAACCCGUAAGGGAGCUAGCCGUCGAAGGUGGGGCCGAUAAUUGGGGUGAAGUCGUAACAAGGUAACC
rnacentral:rRNA from 1 species